UACGGAGGGUGCAAGCGUUAUCCGGAUUCACUGGGUUUAAAGGGUGCGUAGGUGGGUCUGUAAGUCAGUGGUGAAAUCUCCGAGCUUAACUCGGAAACUGCCAUUGAUACUAUAGGUCUUGAAUCAUCUGGAGGUAAGCGGAAUAUGUCAUGUAGCGGUGAAAUGCUUAGAUAUGACAUAGAACACCAAUUGCGAAGGCAGCUUACUGGACAGCAAUUGACACUGAGGCACGAAAGCGUGGGGAUCAAACAGG
rnacentral:rRNA from 1 species